AUAACAUGGAGACCACUCAAAGGCUGCUUGUGAAGUCAUUUCACUCUUACUAGUGUGCCUGUCACACUUAAUGGGUACUCACAAACAGUGCCACUUCCUUUUCUUGUAAUCACACAGUCUCAGUGUAAGCACAGAUUUACACUUACAUUUCCUAUUUAGAAUCUUGCUUUAUACACUGUGAGUACCAAGCCUGCAUGAGCAGAAAGAACACAUUUUCAAAUGCACACUGUCCUACAUAUGCCCAUUUGUGACACACAAGUUCCAUUUAUCAGACUGAUUACCCAAUACCUUUUGCUUUUGUAUAAGGGAAAAGGUCCCUCAACAAGAAUUCAAUUUUAAAAAUUGAGCCCUAAAAAUACAUUAUAAAUUUAACUACAUUCUCAUUUUAAAUUGGCUUUUUUAAAUGAAAGAAUUUAGAAAGAUACUAACAUAAAUUACGUUGUAACAUUUUUUUCUUUUUAUCUGCAUAGUUUUUUCUUUAAUUGACAUCUAAUGCUUUUGAGACAAGCAUGGCCUCUAGAAGCGAAAGUUUCUGUAGCAGGCUUUCUUGGACCACCAGCCCCCAAAUCAUGACAUGGAGACUUACUAGUUAUGAGUGCUCGGCCUUAGUUUAAGCUUGUCCCACUAGCUCUUGUAACUUAUUUUAACCUGUUUCUCUUCAUCUGUGUUUUGCCUCGGGCUCUUUACCUUUCUUUCAUUCUGUACGUCCUACUUUCCUGCUUCCUCCACGGCUGCCUGGCUGGCGGCUGCCUGGCUGCUGGUACCUGGCGUCUCCCUUUCUUUCUCCCUCGUUCUCUCCUCCUUCUCCUCUCUUGAGCCUAGAUUCCUCCUCCUACUUAUUCUCUCUAUCCACCAGCCCCGCCUAUCCCUCUACUUCCUAACUAUUGGCCAUUCAGCUUUUUAUUAGACCAAUCAGGUGCCUUAGGCAGGCAAGGUAAAACAGCAACACAUCUUUACAUAGUUAAAUAUUCUAUUCCACAACGAGUUUCCUUUAAGUUUUAAGAGCAUGCCUGACUAUUGUGGUCUGUUUUGGAUUGCCUUAAUGUUUUAAAUCGUUCCUAUUAUAAGAAUGAAUUUUUAAAAUCUGUUAAUUCUGAAGAUUGUGGAUGUGAGGUGUUGUGGAUGUGAGGGGAUGUGGAUGUAUGGUGUGAUUAUGAGGUGAGGUGUUGUGAGGUGAGGUGUUGUGAGGUGAGGUGUUGUGAGGUGAGGUGUUGUGGAGGUGAGGUGAGGUGGAGGUGAGGUGUUGUGGAGGUGAGGUGUUGUAGAGGUGAGGUGUUGUGGAGGUGAGGUGUUGUGAGGUGAGGUGAGGUGGAUGUGAUGUGAGGUGUUAUGAGGUGAGGUGAGGUGGAAGUGAGGUGUUAUGGAGGUGAGGUGAGGUGGAGGUGAGGUGUUGUGAGGUGAGGUGUUGUGAGGUGAGGUGUUGUGAGGUGAGGUGAGGUGGAGGUGAGGUGUUGUGGAGGUGAGGUGAGGUGGAGGUGAGGUGUUGUAGAGGUGAGGUGUUGUAGAGGUGAGGUGAGGUGGAGGUGAGGUGUUGUGGAGGUGAGGUGUUGUAGAGGUGAGGUAUUGUGGAGGUGAGGUGUUGUGAGGUGAGGUGUUGUAGAGGUGAGGUGAGGUGGAGGUGAGGUUAGAGGAUAAAAACUUGUUACAGUCUGUCUAAAGUCAGACUCACUAAAAAGGUAGGAAAAUAAUUAUACAUUGGUUAAGCUGACAGUUUCAGAACCUUCAGAGCAGAAAGUAGUCAACGUUUUGCAAAGAGACCGAGGCGGGAGUAUUUCAAGUUCACAGACAGUCUGGACUAUGUAGCCAGUUUCAGGACGGCCAGGCACUUCCUGAUUGCACUGUAACAAAAUACAUCUCGUUGUUGGGUAGAGUGACUUCUUAGCAUGCCUGGGCUUUAUUUUAUGUGGUGUCAUGUCCAUACUUCAACAAUUCAACUUAUGAAACUGAAAAAUCAGGCCAAAAUAUAAAUGAGGUGCAAAAUGUGAGUUCAUUAAAUUUUACAAAAGUUCAAGUUGAGUUCUGAAAUGAGAUAAAAUUAAAGCAUUUAUAUAAUUGGACAGGCAACUUUUACUGACCAAUUAGUUACCUGUCUUGGCAGAGACAGUGAACUUAAACAGCUUUUCUCACGUUUGAGUGGUUGGGAAAAAAUAUUUGUGACACACGAAAACCAUGUGAAUUUCCAGUUCCAGUGCCCGUAGGUAGUUGGCAUCCACAGAAUCACUACGAUCUAAGGCUGUCGAGGCUCUGCAGCCUCCAGGACGACAGAACAAACACUGCUCUAUCUUUUUCAGUAACUGCCCUGUUCCCAGAGGCCUCGAAUUAUCAGAUUCUAGUGCACGGAAAGGCUCACUCUUGGAAUCAGAAACAGGACAAUCUAACGUUUCAGGUUUUCCUCCACAUAGACUAAAUCGGUCAAAUGACCAAGAUGACAAAAUGCAAGGGUGGGCAAUGGCUUUGCUUUUCAACUUUCCCUUGUUAAAAAAUAGCCACAACCAAGCAGGAGAAAGGAUUUCUGCUCCCCUGAGUUCAUUGGUGACAACACGUCUGCUGUGGUCAUGGUUCCGUGGUAGUUCUGUUCGAUGGAGGGAAGGAGGAGGCAGGGGAAGGCCGUGCUCGUCUGACAGCCGCGUGGACAGUGGGUUAAAAAGAUGUUUGCUUUGCAGAACAGAUUGGUGCGAUCUCCUUUCCCAUUGCAUUGUAUCUCCAGUUAGUGCGGAAUUGCCCUUUCUUCCUCUUCAACACAUGCUGUGAAGAUGGACAAAAGCCCCAGGCGUCUGGAGACAGUAUAAUACGGUGUUAGCAGGGAUGCCCUAGGCCCUGGCUAGGUCCAGAUGGAGGUGAGUGGGCAUACCACCGACAGUCCCAACAUUCUACCAAAUUGCCAAUAUGGGUGAACAGCCCUGCCACAGACCCCGUCUACCCGACCCAGACUCCCUGGAGUUUAAGUGAGGGGGAGAGGAAGUUAGCCUUUCCAAUAAACACUCCUACAGACAUUCUACUCCCUUCCUUCAACCUACCGGCACUUCCUCCCCUCAGAGUCUAGACAGCAGCCUCAAGAGACUUGUUCAUAACAUUUAGGGACACCCAGUCCUCCCUGCUCUGUUCCAGUGGGGACUCUGACCUCAGGCCACUCCUGAACCAACAGAGGGCUUAGUGCUUCCAGGAUGUUACAGCUUGAACAGAACUGUCCCUUGUGGGUUCAUAUAUUUGGGGUUGCUUUGGGGACUGUGGGAGCUUUGGGGCUGUGGCCUGGCUAGCACAAAUGGUUUGCUGGGGUUGGGACUUAAAUGUCAUAUUUUCUUGGAAUCUUUUAUUUUUAAAAUUUUAUUUUUAUUUUAUGUGGAUGGGUGGUUUGCCUGAAUGUAAGCACACUGUGCCCCCAGAGACCAGAGGAGGGUGCUGAUCCCCUGGAAUUGGAGCUGUGGUUGGUUGUGAGCUACCAUGUGGUGCUGGGAACCAAACGUAGAGGCCCUGGUGGGGCGCUGGUGCUCUGAGGUACUGAGUCAUCUCUCCAAUCCCAUAUGCGUUUGAACUGCGUUUGCGCUCUUCUUUCCGACCUGUCAAGAUGUAAGGACCUGCUGCCUCACGCUCCUGCUGCCACUGCCUGCUCCACUUGGUGUGACGAGACUGUCCCCCAGAGAUCGUAGAGGAAACAAGUCUUCCGCACUUAGGUUGUUUCUGUAAGAGAUUGGGCCACAGUGAUGAAGAAAGUAACUGAUUCACAGGGCAAGGAGGGGGUGACAGAGAGCAUCCUACCUGUGGAGAGAGGCAAGGACCACAGCACUCCAUCCCCGCAGAACACAGCACAGAAACAGUGGGCCAGGCUUUGUAGAGAAGCAUCCGGUGAUGAGGGAAUUGCAGCCUUCCCAGGGAAGCCUGUGAGACACGGCCAGCCCCACUCCUCCUACCCGAGUCGGAAGAACACACAGGGUAGAGAGGAGAGCACACUGCUCCCAUCCACACCGAGCCACCGCUGAUGGCCUGAGGAAGAAAUAACCUGAAAUUCAGUUUGAAGCUUAAGUUGGAAAUUAACACAACCAGAUUGACAUGAUUUUAAUAACUUGAGGAGGUAGAUUUUAUAACGAAACUAAGCAAAAAAAAAAAAAAAUGUUUUAAAAGAGCUGACACCAGAAAGUGAGUGUGGCUAACACGGCUAGUCUCUGCGUGCCGUGAUCGGAAGUUUUAGCCAUUUCACAUUUAUACUCCAGUAAACUGGACCUCAAGGGAAUCGCCACAGCAGAGUUCUGGCCUCUAGAGGGCAAUGGAUGGUUCUGAACAGUAAAGACUGAUACCAACUCAACCAAGAAUGGUUUUAAUUCAUUAGUUAAUUAGAGACAGGUUCUCCUGUAGCCUAACCUGCCCUGAAACAUGUUAUGUAGUCGAGGAUGACCUUGUGUUUCGGAUCCUCUGAGUGCUGGGUUUAUAGACAUAUGCCAGCAUGCCCUGUUUUAUGCCACACUGAGAAUCAAAUCCAGAGCUUCCUCCAUGAAGGCAAGCGUUCUACCAACUGACCCACCCACAUCUCAGCACAAGAACGGCUUUAUUUUUCAAGAAUUUUGUUUUGUUUCAAUUUAAUUGAAAUAUAAUAUUUGGACAAAAGAGUGCCCAAGUCCUGAGAACAGAACUCUGGGGAUUUUAACCAAGUGAAUCACCUGUGCUGGUUUGAAUGAGAGUCUGCAUAGGCUCACAUACGUAAACCUUGGAUGACCGUUUGGCGGGGCUAUUUGGCAAGGUUGUGGAACCCUUCAGAGUCAGAACCUUACUGGAGGAAGAAAGUCAUUAUGGGUGGGCUUUGAGAGUUUGGAAACACCCCAUUCUCAGUUCCUUCUCUCUGCUUCCUGCUUGAGGGUGAAGAUGUGAUCACUCAGUUUACUGGUUGGCAGCUUGCAACCAUGCCUCCUCUGCCAUUGUGGAUGCUCUCCUGGAGCUCUAAGUCAAAGUCAACUUUUUUUUCCCGUGAAAACUCCUUGCCCCAGCCCUCUGGUGAGGGGAGCAGCUUGAUGACUCUCUGUCCAGUGGAAGCCCAGCUCUCUGUGAUCUGAAGCAGGAGAAUGUUUGAGGACUGUCCAGCCAGUAACAAGGGAAGUACAGCAACCGUAAGGCGGAUACCAAGUCCGCAGUGAAAGAGACCAGAGCAAGGAGUUCCUGGAAGCUGUUCAGGUCGGCGCAGAGGGUGCGGCCCUGCGGAAAACCUGGUAUCUGAGGUGGACUGAACGAGACCUUCUUCUUUGUAAUCAAAGCAGACGAAUCCACCCAGAAGUGUGUAUCUGGGCCUCAGUAAUGUAUUUCAUUAAAUGAUGCUAUGGACAUGA